UUUGAUCCUGGCUCAGAGCGAACGCUGGCGGCAGGCUUAACACAUGCAAGUCGAGCGGGCGUAGCAAUACGUCAGCGGCAGACGGGUGAGUAACGCGUGGGAACGUACCUUUUGGUUCGGAACAACACAGGGAAACUUGUGCUAAUACCGGAUAAGCCCUUACGGGGAAAGAUUUAUCGCCGAAAGAUCGGCCCGCGUCUGAUUAGCUAGUUGGUGAGGUAACGGCUCACCAAGGCGACGAUCAGUAGCUGGUCUGAGAGGAUGAUCAGCCACAUUGGGACUGAGACACGGCCCAAACUCCUACGGGAGGCAGCAGUGGGGAAUAUUGGACAAUGGGCGCAAGCCUGAUCCAGCCAUGCCGCGUGAGUGAUGAAGGCCCUAGGGUUGUAAAGCUCUUUUGUGCGGGAAGAUAAUGACGGUACCGCAAGAAUAA
rnacentral:rRNA from 2 species